rnacentral:lncRNA from 1 species
GGAAGUGUCUUUCUCUGUCAACAUGAAAUAGAUUUUCCCUUCUGUAAUUUGCUUGGCACCAUUUUCCCUGUUCGUGGGUGGAAGCAUCAGCCAACAUUGUAGGACCCACCUGCCUGAUAAUUUAAGAGUCCAUCUUCCUGUUUGCCUUUGAUGUGCCCUGGAAACAUGGCUCCCUAGUUUCCCUGGGAACACAUACCCUCACCUGGAUCCCAGCCUCACACCAUGGAGACGUGGCUCCAUGGCAGACCAAGGAAUUCUUCCUAUGAUCUGAGUGGGAUUGCAGGCUGCCUGUUGGAUAGAUGUCUCCAGAGCAUCCUUACAUUUCCGUCUCUUGCUUUGCAGACAUGAGGUCCUGAGUUUGUCCCUAGGACCCACGUAAAAAGCUGGGUCUGAUAACGGGUUUAUAAUCACAGCCCUGAGGAGGCAAGACACUGAAAGAUCCCCAGGUCCUGGUCACCCAGCUGAACUUAACCGGUGAAUUCCAGGCCAGUGAGGGACCAUUUCAAAAAAAAAAAAA